AGCAGGCACAAUAUAAGUUACUGGUGAGCCGCCCCCGGAGGAGGGUGAUGGCAUGCCAGUGAAGCUAGCUGGGCAUUUAAAGUUCAUGCUUACAUUGGCAAACCAUAUUCAGCAUUAUUGGGUCCAACGCUGGUAGUAAAGAUGGUGUAGCGGCGAAGAAACCAAAGCGGUAUAAAGU